AUGUUGCUCACUCUUGUUAUAAUUUAUAAUUGCAAUAUAUCUGCCAUAAGCUUUGUCUAACGCCAGAAAAUUUUACUCCUCAAGGGGGAUAGUGCUGGUGCUGAAUGGGUUAAUCUGAUGUAUUUAUUCCCGUAUGUCUAGUUAUUAACCAAUUAAGACCAUGUGCACACGGUAACGUUUUUGAGCGUUUUCAUUUGUGUUUUCACGCUAAAACGGAUGCAAACACUAUCAAUUUACGACAGAAGCUGUAGUUUAUUUAAUAUAUUGGAGAUGUUUUUCUUUGGAUCGUGUGAACAAGGCGUCAAAACGAUUAAAG